CGUGAACACCCGCAGGGCAGUGCCCAGCAGAGCCCUAGCUUGGUCAGAGACGCAUUCCUGGAUGCCAUGUCUGCAGGUUCUUGAGCUGCCAGGAGAUAAGCAGCUUUCCUCCUCCUAGGCCUUCCGCCAUGAAGUUCUGCUUCAUGACAGCUCACAAACAACACAGCCAAGUAACCAUGAACUGAAGUAACCAUGAACUGAAGCCUUUGAAACUGUCAGCCAAAUGAUUCCAACUUGCUUCAAGGACUUCAAGGACAUCCUGUUUGGGGAAGACUGGCCCAGUCAAGGACACUUUCAAGACUCUAACUAUUCUUCUCAGACUCCCUCUCUCCCAGAAUUCUGCCUGACAAUAUAUGACAUAAUUCUUGCAUUCCGUGUAACCAAUCAUGUAAUAAACUCCUAUAAGCUUUGUACUUCACACUGCAAACCAUAUUUAAACUGAACUCAGACUUGACUCUGGGCUGGUGAUUUGAACCUCUGGGUUCCUCAGCCUGCUAGCAUAAUAAAAGUUUCCUUGUAACUCC